rnacentral:rRNA from 1 species
GAUGAACGCUGGCGGCGUGCCUAAUACAUGCCAGUCGAGCGAACGGACGAGAAGCUUGCUUUUCUGAUGUUAGAGGCGGACGGGUGAGUAACACGUGGAUAACCUACCUAUAAGACUGGGAUAACUUCGGGAAACCGGAGCUAAUACCGGAUAAUAUUUUGAACCGCAUGGUUCAAAAGUGAAAGACGGUCUUGCUGUCACUUAUAGAUGGAUCCGCGCUGCAUUAGCUAGUUGGUAAGGUAACGGCUUACCAAGGCAACGAUGCAUAGCCGACCUGAGAGGGUGAUCGGCCACACUGGAACUGAGACACGGUCCAGACUCCUACGGGAGGCAGCAGUAGGGAAUCUUCCGCAAUGGGCGAAAGCCUGACGGAGCAACGCCGCGUGAGUGAUGAAGGUCUUCGGAUCGUAAAACUCUGUUAUUAGGGAAGAACAUAUGUGUAAGUAACUGUGCACAUCUUGACGGUACCUAAUCAGAAAGCCACGGCUAACUACGUG